AGCGAACGCUGGCGGCAGGCCUAAUACAUGCAAGUCGAACGAAUGGAAGGGAGCUUGCUCCCUGAAGUUAGCGGCGGACGGGGGAGUAACACGUGGGCAACCUGCCUGUAAGACUGGGAUAACUUCGGGAAACCGGAGCUAAUACCGGAUACGUUCUUUUCUCGCAUGAGGAAAGAUGGAAAGAUGGUUUCGGCUAUCACUUACAGAUGGGCCCGCGGCGCAUUAGCUAGUUGGGGGGGUAAUGGCCGACCAAGGCGACGAUGCGUAGCCGACCUGAGAGGGUGAUCGGGCACACUAGGACUGAGACACGGCCCAGACUCCUACGGGAGGCAGCAGUAGGGAAUCUUCCGCAAUGGACGAAAGUCUGACGGAGAAACGCCGCGUGAGCGAAGAAGGCCUUCGGGUCGUAAGGCUCUGUUGUCAGGGAAGAACAAGUGCCAGAGUAACUGCUGGCUCCUUGACGGUACCUGACCAGAAAGCCACGGCUAACUACGUGCCAGCCGCCGCUGUAACAC
rnacentral:rRNA from 1 species